AGUCUUCAUUCAAUUCUUCAGCUGACUUCAUCACAAAGUGUUUUAUAAAUUUAUUAAUUAUUUUUAAAUAUUAUUAAUAUUAAAUUAAUAAUAAUUAUUGACUUGUUAUUUUACUAAAAAAAGAAACAAUAAUGCAGUUUUUCUGGGCAUUAUUUACGCUUUUUAUUGUAAUAAUUUUUGCUGUCCAAGGAAAUGGAUACCAUUAUAAACAAAGAGGAAGCUGGGGACAUGGUGGUGGAGGUAGAUACGGAGGUGGACAUGGCGGCUAUGGACAAGGUCAUGGAUAUGGUCAUCACGGUGGUCAUGGACAUGGUGGUCGGGGAUAUGGAUAUUAUGGAUAAUGUUGAUAACCACAUAUUUCUCAAGAAAUCAUUUAAAUUAAUACAACAAUUUGCGGUCAUGCUUUCUGUUUAAAAAUCAUCAAUUAAUUAAAAAAAUAAAAAAAAACAAAAAAAAAUUAACUGUAAUGUAUAUUUUAAUGUAUAAAAUUAAGAAAAAAUUUAUAUAUGUGUAAAAAAAAUAUUUCUUUAAUUGUAAUUGAUAAUAAUAUAUUGUAAAAAAUAAAAAAAAAUUUAAUAAAAUAAUAAAUUUAAAAAAAAAUGAUGA